rnacentral:rRNA from 1 species
ACUGAACGCUGGCGGCAUGCCUUACACAUGCAAGUCGAACGGUAACAGGUCUUCGGAUGCUGACGAGUGGCGAACGGGUGAGUAAUACAUCGGAACGUGCCUAGUAGUGGGGGAUAACUACUCGAAAGAGUGGCUAAUACCGCAUGAGAUCUACGGAUGAAAGCAGGGGAUCGCAAGACCUUGUGCUACUAGAGCGGCCGAUGGCAGAUUAGGUAGUUGGUGGGAUAAAAGCUUACCAAGCCGACGAUCUGUAGCUGGUCUGAGAGGACGAUAAGCCACACUGGGACGGAGACACGGCCCAGACUCCUACGGGAGGCAGCAGUGGGGAAUUUUGGACAAUGGGCGCAAGCCUGAUCCAGCAAUGCCGCGUGCAGGAUGAAGGCCUUCGGGUUGUAAACUGCUUUUGUACGGAACGAAAAGCCCCGGGUUAAUACCCUGGGGUCAUGACGGUACCGUAAGAAUAAGCACCGGCUAACUACGUGCCAGCCGCCGCAGUAA